rnacentral:rRNA from 1 species
AACGAACGCUGGCGGCAGGUUUAACACAUGCAAGUCGAACGCAUCGCAAGAUGAGUGGCAGACGGGUGAGUAACGCGUGGGAACAUACCCUUUUCUACGGAAUAGCUCUGGGAAACUGGAAUUAAUACCGUAUACGCCCUACGGGGGAAAGAUUUAUCGGGGAAGGAUUGGCCCGCGUUGGAUUAGCUAGUUGAUGGGGUAAAGGCCUACCAAGGCGACGAUCCAUAGCUGGUCUGAGAGGAUGAUCAGCCACAUUGGGACUGAGACACGGCCCAAACUCCUACGGGAGGCAGCAGUGGGGAAUAUUGGACAAUGGGCGCAAGCCUGAUCCAGCCAUGCCGCGUGAGUGAUGAAGGCCUUAGGGUUGUAAAGCUCUUUCACCGAUGAAGAUAAUGACGGUAGUCGGAGAAGAAGCCCCGGCUAACUUCGUGCCAGCAGCCGCAGUAACAC